rnacentral:lncRNA from 1 species
UAAGGAUAUAUAAAAUUCUUUCAUGCUCCAACACGAUCUUCAACUUUCGAUACCAGCUAUCGAAGUUGGAUCCGGUGAGCUUGUUGCUGUGCAACAGCAAAUGGAGAGAUAGUGUGUUGGCUAUAACUGAAAGAAAAAAUAUUAACUUAUUAGUAUAUGAAUUAUUUUUUUUUAAUUCUGAAGAUAUGGACUUUAGUCUAAAGAUCCUUCCACUAUUUUUAACAAAU